rnacentral:rRNA from 1 species
GGAGGGGUGCAAGCGUUGUUCGGAAUUAUUGGGCGUAAAGAGCGUGUAGGGCGGUUCGGUAAGUCAGAUGUGAAAGCCCUGGGCUCAACCCAGGAAGUGCAUUUGAAACUACCAGACUUGAGUACGGGAGAGGACGGGGGGAAUUCCCGGUGUAGAGGUGAAAUUCGUAGAUAUCGGGAGGAAUACCAGUGGCGAAGGCGCCCCUCUGGACCGAUACUGACGCUGAGACGCGAAAGCGUGGGGAGCAAACAGGAUUAGAUACCCUGGUAGUCCACGCCGUAAACGAUGAGCACUAGGUGUAGCGGGUAUUGACCCCUGCUGUGCCGUAGCUAACGCAUUAAGUGCUCCGCCUGGGGACUACGGUCGCAAGACUA